GGAGCGAUGCUCGAGUGGCUGAAGAGGCACGCCUGGAAAGCGUGUAUACGCCAAAAGCGUAUCGCGAGUUCGAAUCUCGCUCGCUCCG
rnacentral:tRNA from 1 species